rfam:Ciona savignyi cont_35229, whole genome shotgun sequence.
AGCAGAGUGGCGCAGCGGAAGCGUGCUGGGCCGAUAACCCAGAGGUCUGAUGGUUCGAAACCAUCCUCUGCUA